AUGCAAGUCGAACGGUAACAGGAAGAAGCUUGCUUCUUUGCUGACGAGUGGCGGACGGGUGAGUAAUGUCUGGGAAACUGCCUGAUGGAGGGGGAUAACUACUGGAAACGGUAGCUAAUACCGCAUAACGUCGCAAGACCAAAGAGGGGGACCUUCGGGCCUCUUGCCAUCGGAUGUGCCCAGAUGGGAUUAGCUUGUUGGUGGGGUAACGGCUCACCAAGGCGACGAUCCCUAGCUGGUCUGAGAGGAUGACCAGCCACACUGGAACUGAGACACGGUCCAGACUCCUACGGGAGGCAGCAGUGGGGAAUAUUGCACAAUGGGCGCAAGCCUGAUGCAGCCAUGCCGCGUGUAUGAAGAAGGCCUUCGGGUUGUAAAGUACUUUCAGCGGGGAGGAA
rnacentral:rRNA from 1 species